CUCCAGCCCGGACACCCAGGACGUAGCGAUGUGGAAGAACUGCGUGACUGGAUUGGGAG
rnacentral:pre_miRNA from 1 species